AUUGAACGCUGGCGGCAUGCUUUACACAUGCAAGUCGAACGGUAACAGGCCGCAAGGUGCUGACGAGUGGCGAACGGGUGAGUAAUGCACCGGAACGUGCCCAGUCGUGGGGGAUAACUACUCGACAGAGUACCUAAUACCGCAUACGAUCUAUGGAUGAACGCGGGGGACCGUAAGGCCUCGCGCGAUUGGAUCGGCCGGUGUCAGAUUAGGUAGUUGGUGGGGUAAAGGCUCACCAAGCCAACGAUCUGUAGCUGGUCUGAGAGGAGGACCAGCGACAUUGGGACGGAGACACGGCCCAGACUCCUACGGGAGGCAGCAGUGGGGAAUUUUGGACAAUGGGCGCAAGCCUGAUCCAGCAAUGCCGCGUGCAGGAAGAAGGCCUUCGGGUUGUAAACUGCUUUUGUACGGAACGAAACGGCUCUGGUUAAUACCCGGGGCUAAUGACGGUACCGUAAGAAUAAGCACCGGCUAACUACGUG
rnacentral:rRNA from 1 species